AUACUUUUGUAGUUCAUAAGUGUGAUAAUUGGGUUUUUAUGCUCAUGUGUGAGAUGUGCCUCUCUCAAACCUUGUUAUGACCUUAGCAGCACAUUAUCCACUUGAUG